rnacentral:snoRNA from 25 species
CACUCCUGUUUCUGCCUCAAAUCCGUUUUGUUUCUAUAGGAUUAUGGGUUCUGGUGAUGGAGAAGAUCAAGCCAUGAAAUGGGCUUAUACCAACUUUUGAUACAUCCGGUAUUUGUCUUGUUUCAUGGAUCGUGUGGAUGAUUUUGUAUCCGUUGUGUGGAGCAAUAUCAAUAUAAAGUUUGAUAUUGAGCCUGAUCGGUCCCACUACAUUA